ensembl:lncRNA
CCUCAAUCAUAAAUCACUCUGAGGGGAAGUGAGGCCGAUCCCUCCUCUCCACGCGGCAUCAGAUUACAGGUAGAAGACAAAGCUAUCGGACACCUCGCCACGUGUCCUGCGUUUAACACUUCUUCCAGCCGCUGAACACUUAAAUUCAGUUUACUUUCAAACAUUAGGACGCAGCGGAAUACAAUAUACAUAAUAUUAUGUAAAUCGACUCUCCAAUAUAGCGGCCGGGACUCAAAAGCAGCGUUCUAUCCUUCAUCAGUUUUUAUCAAAGCUGGAGACAAAACCAGCCGGACGGGCAGUAAGCACUUCUCGCAGUGUCAGGAUGUGAUGUCAUAUCGCUUUAAAUAACCUCGCAGGAUAUCAUUUUGUGUUACUGUGCGUCUUCUGAUGUUAUCUUCACAAAUAGGGGACAGAUUAAUGCAUUGUUUAAGCACAAUACGGUGUCCAUUUGCAUCACAAUAAGAUUCCAUUUUUUUUGACUUCUCAGCGAGCGCUCCGUGCCCCUGACUCAGGCCACGUGGCAGCCGUGCUGUUCUGCAGCCACACACAUUUUCAUGUCAUACUAACUUGCCAGUGUGCGCAAAACUGUCACACUCCCUUAGAGGCUCUGGAUGCUAUGCGUAAUUCCUUUAACACAAGGCCGUGCAGAUAUCCUUAUCAUUGUUGUAAUGGCGUGCUCAUGCCACCCUGCAUCCUGCGAACUUGCACGAGGCAGCUGGUAAUUCAUUUAAUUUAUUCAAGUCGACCCGCGGUGGAUCAGACCGCGCUGGGCUCCUGUUGUGUUGAUGGCUGGAGUACACGGACGGACACUCAGCAGCCUUCGUCCUUCAGAGGUGAUCUCAGGGCCACAGAAACAUCAUUCAGGACUUUCUAUCUGCAGCCACUUGCUCAAAUGUGAAACUCUGGAGGCUCGUGGAAAGGUAGCCAGCUCUAAAGCGGAUCCCCUGUCACUUGCAACCUAGGACAUUUGGCGCUCUGACACGCUCAUUCGAAUCCGUGUGUUGGCGCUUCAAAGCAAAUAUCUUGUUCACAUGUGGUCUGAAGC